AUUGAACGCUGGCGGCAGGCUUAACACAUGCAAGUCGAGCGGUAACAGAGAGAAGCUUGCUUCUCUGCUGACGAGCGGCGGACGGGUGAGUAAUGCCUAGGAAUCUGCCUAGUAGUGGGGGAUAACUUGCCGAGAGGUAAGCUAAUACCGCAUACGUCCUACGGGAGAAAGGAGGGGACCUUCGGGCCUUUCGCUAUUAGAUGAGCCUAGGUCGGAUUAGUUAGUUGGUGAGGUAAUGGCUCACCAAGACCGCGAUCCGUAACUGGUCUGAGAGGAUGAUCAGUCACACUGGAACUGAGACACGGACCAGACUCCUACGGGAGGCAGCAGUGGGGAAUAUUGAACAAUGGGGGGAACCCUGAUCCAGCCAUGCCGCGUGUGUGAAGAAGGUCUUAGGAUUGUAAAGCACUUUAAGUUGGGAGGAAGAGCAGUUAACUAAUAUUUGACUGUUUUGACGUUACCGACAGAAUAAGCACCGGCUAACUUCGUGCCAGCCGCCGCAGUAA
rnacentral:rRNA from 1 species